GGGUUGUGAGGUUAAGCGACUAAGCGUACACGGUGGAUGCCCUGGCAGUCAGAGGCGAUGAAGGGCGUGCUAAUCUGCGAUAAGCGCCGGUAAGGUGAUAUGAACCGUUAUAACCGGCGAUACCCGAAUGGGGAAACCCAGUGUGACUCGUCACACUAUCAUUAACUGAAUCCAUAGGUUAAUGAGGCGAACCGGGGGAACUGAAACAUCUAAGUACCCCGAGGAAAAGAAAUCAACCGAGAUUCCCCCAGUAGCGGCGAGCGAACGGGGAGGAGCCCAGAGCCUGAAUCAGCAUGUGUGUUAGUGGAAGCGUCUGGAAAGACGCGCGAUACAGGGUGACAGCCCCGUACACAAAAGCGUAUGUGCUGUGAGCUCGAUGAGUAGGGCGGGACACGUGGUAUCCUGUCUGAAUAUGGGGGGACCAUCCUCCAAGGCUAAAUACUCCUGACUGACCGAUAGUGAACCAGUACCGUGAGGGAAAGGCGAAAAGAACCCCGGCGAGGGGAGUGAAAAAGAACCUGAAACCGUGUACGUACAAGCAGUGGGAGCACAGGUUUACCUGUGUGACUGCGUACCUUUUGUAUAAUGGGUCAGCGACUUAUAUUCUGUAGCAAGGUUAACCGAAUAGGGGAGCCGGAGGGAAACCGAGUCUUAAUUGGGCGUUAAGUUGCAGGGUAUAGACCCGAAACCCGGUGAUCUAGCCAUGGGCAGGUUGAAGGUUGGGUAACACUAACUGGAGGACCGAACCGACUAAUGUUGAAAAAUUAGCGGAUGACCUGUGGCUGGGGGUGAAAGGCCAAUCAAACCGGGAGAUA
rnacentral:rRNA from 1 species